rnacentral:rRNA from 1 species
GACGAACGCUGGCGGCGUGCUUAACACAUGCAAGUCGAACGGUGAAGCGCCUUCCUUUUUGGUGGGUGUGGAUGAGUGGCGAACGGGUGAGUAACACGUGAGUAACCUGCCCCCUUCUUCUGGAUAACCGCAUGAAAGUGUGGCUAAUACGGGAUAUUCUGGGUCUGUCGCAUGAUGGGUCUGGGAAAGAUAUUGUUUCGGUGGGGAUGGGCUCGCGGCCUAUCAGCUUGUUGGUGGGGUGAUGGCCUACCAAGGCGGUGACGGGUAGCCGGCCUGAGAGGGUGGACGGUCACACUGGGACUGAGACACGGCCCAGACUCCUACGGGAGGCAGCAGUGGGGAAUAUUGCACAAUGGGCGCAAGCCUGAUGCAGCGACGCCGCGUGAGGGAUGGAGGCCUUCGGGUUGUGAACCUCUUUCGCCAGUGAAGCAGGCCUGCCUCGUUUGUGGGUGGGUUGACGGUAGCUGGAUAAGAAGCGCCGGCUAACUGCGUG